GGAGUUGUGUGAGAGAUUCUAAGUUAUCACCCUAAUACAGGAUACAAGAUGAUAUUGGGCUACUUGAAUGCCAGAGGUAUUCAUAUCCAAAGAAGAAGAGUGCAAGAAGCAAUGUACCGAGUUGACCAGCAAGGAAUUUUGAUGCACACUUUCCAGCUUUGCACUGUUCGGCGUAGAAGAUACUCUGUUCCAGCUCCAAACAGCUUGUGGCACAUAGAUGGAAUCCAUAAACUUGUACGAUGCCAAAUUGUUGUUCACGGGGGCAUUGACGGCUUUAGCCGCUUCAUUGCUUACCUGACUGUUGCUACAAACAAUCGUGCUACAACAGUUCUUGACAGCUUUCUUGAAGCUAUGAAUACAUAUGGAGUGCCAUCUCGUGUUCGUUCAGACAAAGGAGGGGAGAAUGUACUAGUGGCACACUUCAUGGUCUCAACCAGAGGCCAAAACAGAAAUUAUCACAUAACAGGAAGAAGCGCACAUAACCAAAGGUAUUUAAAUUAAAGUCUUGAUGUAUUCUCCAUUCUCCAUGUUUUCAUACUGACUACUUCCAUGGAAGUUGCUACAUUUCUCAAAAUAGUAUGACAAGUAACCGUCGUGAAAUCCCGGGGUCAGUAGAAAGGUCUGCAUCUCACAAUUAUGAACUCAAUGUCCACAGAGCAAUGACUGGAGAACAGGGUGGCGUUGUUACACUAG